rnacentral:lncRNA from 1 species
CUGACAGCUAAAGGGGAGUUUGAUCAAUUUCGAUUUUCUGGUAAAUGAAGAAAAUCGCCCCUCCUGUUCUCCUUCACACACGCCCAUUUAUUCACGCUGCAAGUCGCUCAACACGCCUUCCUGAAAGCUGCUUUUUAGCAGGGGCAGCUAUACUGGUGUGCUGGGCUGAGUCUGAGGAGUGGGUGGGUGCCGGCCUGCCCUCGAGGAUCUCGGGUCGCUGCGGGGAGGCAGAUGACAGAAUCGAUGUUCCACGUGGGGGCUAAGCUGAGAGCUACAGCUGCACAGAGGGUCAUGGGUAUGAGUGGAUCUAGAGGUCAUGAUGACGCAGCGAACCAGGUCUCAAAGGUCCAGAAAAGUCACGAGAGGUCUAAAAGGGAGUUAACACAGAAAAGUCUCUAAAAUGUUUCCCGGGCCUAGUCGUCAUCCCGAGAAAUCCGGGCCGUUGACUCUUCUUGGGUAGGCGCUGUGGUUGUGGCCACAGGUGGACAUCUGGCUGAAAGUGAAACCCUGCCUCCAGGACAGACCUCCCUUUGUUGAUGCGGUUCAGCCCCUCCCCAGCCUGGUGCAGAUGGACACGAUGACCUGGCCAAUGUGAACCCUGGCCAUUGUGACCUAGGGCUUCCCAAAGAUGGCACACAUACCUGUCUGGAGCCUGUCAGCUCCAGCACAGGACAACAUCUUGUUGAUUUGGAUGACAUGAAAAUGGUGGAGCCUCACUGAAAUAUGAAAG